UUUUGUGUUAGGGCAUACAAAGAAGUUGCAAUAGAAGCAGUAGAACAUGCUCUAAAGGCCCUAAGAAAUCGGCAUUUAGUGGAAGAAGGGGCUUAUGCCCCCCUGCUUUGGCUGCUUUCAAUAGGUCUCCCAUUUUGCAGGGUUCAGACUGGAAAGAGAAAGCUAAAAAUCUUGAAGUGGAACUUCAACAGUGUUACAAAGAUCUAGCACUACAGUCAGUGCAGCUUGUGGUCGAAAAAACUGAAUCCAGAGCAUCAAAAUCUUUACUUCAGGAGAAGGAAACUCUCAUUACUGACCUUCAAAAUGCGCUAAAUCAAGCAAGGGAUGAAUGUUCACGUUUAACUGAACUUCUUGAGGAAAAGAGUAAAUCUUUGGAAUUGAUUAUAUCCAAGCAUCAGGAGCUUAAGGCACAACGUGAAGCAGUUACUCGGAGGGCAGAAACUAAAAUAUUGGUUGACCAAUGGUGGCUGCAGAAGAUGCAGGAUGCUGAGCGCCUUAAUGAGUCUAAUGCUCUCUAUGAAAAUAUGCUUGAUAAGUUCAAGAUCGCCAGUAUAAAGAAACUUCCUCGUCCACAGGUGGACGGUGUGGUCCCCCAAAGUGAAGAUGCUGCAGAAGCUUACUUUGAGUCUUCCAUUCCUAGUACAUGCUGGCAAAGGAUCCCCGCCCAUGAUGGUGGAUGUACCUCGAUUCUUUUUGAUUAUAAGUCCAGUAAAUUGAUAAGUGGUGGGCAGGAUCGGGAAGUUAAAAUUUGGGAUACUAGAAGUGGAACAUUAAGUAACAUUCUUUAUGGUUGUCAGGGUUCGGUCCUUGAUCUUUCCAUUACACAUGAUAACAUCAUAGCAGCAAGUAGUUCAAAUGCCUUGUAUGUGUGGAAUGCAAAUUCAGGCAGGAUAGACCAUAUUCUUAAUGGGCACAUCAACAAGGUUUGUGCAGUUGAUGUGAGCAGACCUUCAAGUCCCUAUGUGGUGAGUGCUGCAUAUGAUCGCACAAUAAAAGUUUGGGAUCUGCAGACGGGUUACUGUAACAACACUAUCAUAUUUCACAGUAACUGUAACAGCCUUUCGUUAAGCACGGAUGGACUGACUCUCUGUUCCGGUCAUGUUAAUGGUAAUCUUAGAUUAUGGGAUGUUCAAACAGGCGAGCUUCUGAGUGAAGUUGCUGCACAUUCAAAGGCUGUUACAUCAGUUUCACUCUCUCAAUAUGGAAACAUGAUAUUAACCAGUGGGAGAGACAACUUGCACAAUCUAUUCGAUAUACGCACCCUUGAAAUUUGUAGCACUUUCAAAUCAAAUGCAAAUCGAGUUGGAUCUGAUUGGAGCCGAUCCUGUAUUAGUGCCGAUGACGGUUAUGUUACUGCAGGUUCUGCUGAUGGAUCUGUUCAUAUUUGGUCAGUAUCAAACGGUAAAAUGGUAAGAACAUUGAAAGAACACACAUCCUCUGUACUUAGUUGUUUAUGGGGUGGUUUUGGUAAUCCUUUGGCCACCUCAGAUAAGAGUGGAACCAUAUGCAUUUGGUCAUGAUAUCAGUUCAAAGAUUGCUCAGUAAUUGAGAUUUCAGUGAGGAUCACGAGUGUCAUUGUUGAUUUUUAGUUUUCUUAAAGCACAAAGUUGGUCAUCAUAGUGAUUGUGAAGCCAUAAAUGAGCAUCGUCCAUAUAUAAACAUCAUGCCAAAAGGGGCUGACAUUGUAAUAUUAAGCUGAUUUUUUAAGA